rnacentral:tRNA from 2 species
GCGCCAGUAGCUCAGCUUGGACAGAGCACUUCCCUCCUAAGGAAGGGGUCGGGAGUUCGAAUCUUCCCUGGCGCG